rnacentral:rRNA from 1 species
UACGGAGGGUGCGAGCGUUGUUCGGAAUCACUGGGCGUAAAGCGCGUGUAGGCGGCCCACUAAGUCUGAUGUGAAAGCCCGGGGCUCACCCCCGGAAGUGCAUUGGAAACUGGUGGACUCGAGUCCCGGAGAGGAGAGUGGAAUUCCUGGUGUAGCGGUGAAAUGCGUAGAUAUCAGGAGGAACACCGGUGGCGAAGGCGGCUCUCUGGACGGUGACUGACGCUGAGACGCGAAAGCGUGGGUAGCAAACAGG